ACAAGCAGUGGGAGCACCUUCGUGGUGUGACUGCGUACCUUUUGUAUAAUGGGUCAGCGACUUACAUUUUGUAGCGAGGUUAACCGAAUAGGGGAGCCGUAGGGAAACCGAGUCUUAACUGGGCGUCUUAGUUGCAAGGUGUAGACCCGAAACCCGGUGAUCUAGCCAUGGGCAGGUUGAAGGUUGGGUAACACUAACUGGAGGACCGAACCGACUAAUGUUGAAAAAUUAGCGGAUGACUUGUGGC
rnacentral:rRNA from 1 species